AGCGUUGUUCGGGAUCAUUGGGCGUAAAGGGUGAGUAGGCGGAUAUGCAAGUCUAUGUGUAAAAUACCACAGCUCAACUGUGGAACUAUGCUGGAAACUGCAUGACUAGAGUCUGAUAGGGGAAGUUAGAAUUCCUGGUGUAAGGGUGGAAUCUGUUGAUAUCAGGAAGAAUACCAGAGGCGAAGGCGAACUUCUAGGUCAAGACUGACGCUGAGUCACGAAAGCGUAGGGAGCAAACAGGAUUAGAUACCCUGGUAGUCUACGCUGUAAACGAUGCACACUUGGUGUUAAUCGAAAGGUUAGUACCGAAGCUAACGUGUUAAGUGUGCCGCCUGGGGAGUAUGUUCGCAAGAAUGAAACUCAAAGGAAUUGACGGGGGCCCGCACAAGCGGUGGAGCAUGUGGUUUAAUUCGAUGAUACGCGAGGAACCUUACC
rnacentral:rRNA from 1 species